CACGUGCAUACAGGCUCAGUGACAAGGUACAGUCUUGCUUUUAUUUGCACUGAGGCUUCUCUGUAUGGAGAUGGGGAGCUACAGAGACAUCUGCACUCUUUGCUGUCAUGCUCCACCUGUGGGAAGGUGAAACUGGCAAGUCACUCUGCAGCUGUGGACUGAGACUUUCUUUUCCUUGGUGUCUGUGCUGGCCAUUGCAGCGAGCAAACUUGGAAAUGCCAAUCUCAUGCCACUGCCGCAGGACUCCAGCAGUGGUCUGUGCUUCCACUCAAAGAGAACAGGCACAGCAAUCAACCCACACCGGUAUUUUUUGUAUAACUUCUGGGAUCCUGAGUUAUAAAGAAAUCUUCUGUAACAGCUGUGAGGUAAUCCCUAUGCUGAUUGCCAGGAAUAGCCCACUGGUGUAAAUCCAUGAUGGGAUUUAAUGUGAUGAUGGAUAAACCUGGCUGUCUCUCAAAAAGUUCCUGCAAAACUCUCUCCAAACGGGAUAGGGAAGCCACCAGUCCUGACCAUGUCCCACUCAUUUGGAGUAUCACAGAAGAUAUGGUAUUUUCAGCCUUUCCUAUGUUGGGUGGCAUAGAGGAGAUAUUUUAAGGUUGCAGUAAGUUCUCAUCUACAUUCUAAACUGUGGUGUAAGGCCUACUUUGGGCUCCUGGCUGCCUCCAAAAUAAUGCUGCUGGCUAAAGCCAUGUAAACCAUUCCAAGUACAACAGCAGCAGCAACUACAGCUGGCUUUCCCCAUAACAAUUUUGUUGCUGAAUGAACACGUACUUUUUUACCCCCUGUGACUGAGUUGAAGAGGAAGACAACUUUUGCAUGUGGGGAGAUUGCUGUCGUAAUAAACACCUGAGCAAACUUUACUAUAUCCUGUCUUGGCUGUAACUCUGCACAUGUGCCAGAACUUACAAUGCCAAGAAUUCUAUUAAGUUUGUUCUUCCAUGUUCAGCCAGUCAAGAUACAUUCCCCAGUUCUCCCCCAAACCAUUUUAAUUUAAAUAAAUAUAAUGAAAUCUAAUCUCAAAUGAUGGGACCUCUGUUUUCUGGGAAGCAUGGCACUGAAAUCCUGAUGGGGAGAGAUACCUUCUCUGGGUAAU